AUGGCGACGCCGACCGUAGAGAAGCCCGACGGGGUGGAGAUCCGCGAGGUGUGGGCGGAGAACCUCGAGGCCGAGUUCGCCGUGAUCCGGGAGAUCGUCGACGACUACCCCUACGUCGCCAUGGACACCGAGUUCCCCGGCGUCGUCUGCCGCCCGCUCGGCACCUUCAAGUCCAACGCCGACUUCAACUACGCCACGCUCAAGGCCAACGUCGACAUGCUCAAGCUCAUCCAGCUCGGCCUCACCUUCUCCGACGAGCGCGGCGGCCUCCCCGCCCUCGGCCCGGACGGCCGCCCCUGCGUCUGGCAGUUCAACUUCCGGGGCUUCGACCCGCGCACCGACGUCGCCGCCGCGGACUCCAUCGACCUGCUGCGCCGCAGCGGGAUCGACUUCGCCCGCCACGCCACCGAGGGGGCCGACUCGCGCCGCUUCGCCGAGCUGCUCAUGUCCUCCGGCGUCGUCCUCAACGCCGAGAUCCACUGGGUCACCUUCCACAGCGGCUACGACUUCGGCUACUUGCUCAAGCUGCUCACCGGCUCCAACCUGCCGGACACCAGCUCCGGAUUCUUCGACCUCAUCAGGAUUUACUUCCCCGUGAUCUACGACAUCAAACACUUGAUGAGAUUCUGCAAUAGCCUCCACGGCGGGCUGAACAAGCUCGCUGAGCUGCUCGACGUCGAGCGGGUCGGGAUCUGCCAUCAGGCAGGCUCCGAUUCUCUGCUCACCGCGCUCUCCUUCAACAAGCUCAAGGAGUCGUACUUCGGCGGAUUAACUGAGAAAUAUGCUGGUGUGUUGUAUGGUCUAGGCACAGAGGGCGGGGAAACCACCUCUGUUCACUGA
rnacentral:rRNA from 1 species